rnacentral:rRNA from 1 species
UAGGGAAUCUUCCACAAUGGACGCAAGUCUGAUGGAGCAACGCCGCGUGAGUGAAGAAGGUUUUCGGACCGUAAAGCUCUGUUGUUGGUGAAGAAGGAUAGAGGUAGUAACUGGCCUUUAUUUGACGGUAAUCAACCAGAAAGUCACGGCUAACUACGUGCCAGCAGCCGCGGUAAUACGUAGGUGGCAAGCGUUGUCCGGAUUUAUUGGGCGUAAAGCGAGCGCAGGCGGAAGAAUAAGUCUGAUGUGAAAGCCCUCGGCUUAACCGAGGAAUUGCAUCGGAAACUGUUUUUCUUGAGUGCAGAAGAGGAGAGUAGAACUCCAUGUGUAGCGGUGGAAUGCGUAGAUAUAUGGAAGAAUACCAGUGGCGAAGGCGGCUCUCUGGUCUGCAACUGACGCUGAGGCUCGAAAAGCAUGGGUAGCGAACAGGAUUAGAUACCCUGGUAGUCCAUGCCGUAAACGAUGAGUGCUAAGUGUUGGGAGGCUUCCGCCUCUCAGUGCUGCAGCUAACGCAUUAAGCACUCCGCCUGGGGGAGUACGACCGC